UGAUAAUGGCCCACUUUUUCUUGGUUCCUGAUAAUCUUCAAGUACACAUCAAUUAUUUGCAAAGUGUGAAAAAGAUCAUCACUAUCUUUUUCCUCAAAAAAUAUGAAAAUGCUUUGGGACAUUGCACCCAUAUUUGAGUGAAAAGAAUUUUCCUAAUGUGCUGGCUAGGCUAAAGGAACAAAGGAUGUAUUAUGUAACUUAAUUUGGAAUGAUAAAAUACCGUAAUAUUGAAGCUCUAAUUAGAGCAAACACCCCUAAAUGGGAAAUCUUUCUUGGAUAGGGAACUGAAUAUCUCAAAUCUUGCUUUAUUGAUGACAUCAACCAAACAAAGAGUGUGAAUCUAUCUGCUGAUUACAUCCCAACUCAUCCAGAUUCCCAAAUACAAAUAUAAAGUAUAUAAUAACAGGUAAACAUGUUAUUCAUAUCCUAUCUCACAUCCUAUGCUAUUCAUAUGCAAUACUGAUGUGGGAAACAAUGUGUAUUUCUUAGGUUUACUGAAUUUGGAAUUUGUAAGAGUAAGUUAGUCUCUUAUUUUGUAAAUUCUUCCUUGGAAGAUGUUACAUUCUCCUGGAAACCAUACUAAGUUUCUGAAGUCACAGGGCUUUUUAAUGCACUUCUUCAGAGCAUCAAAUGCUACCCUUGUGACCAGGAAGAAAGGAAAAGAAGGUCAUCAGGAGGGCCCUGCAGCUGCACUAAUUUCUAGCUUCUCUCUGUUAACAAAAAGGUGGGGGGUGGGGGGAAAGCAAUCAGAUUUUUACUGGAGUAUACACCAGCCUUGGCCAAGUGCUUUGAAACUUUUAGAAUGUCUUCUUUCAUUGAAAAUAAAAGAAGCAGAGCUUAUGGUGUAAUAAGCCAAACACAACAGUUACUGAACUUGAGUCAACAUUGGAUACCAUUACAGCUUUCAGGAUAGUCAUGGGAAUGUAUGAAAUGAGUAAGUACGUUUUGAUACCUGUGAAAAUAAAACAUUGUGCUGUAAGUGAGUGGGAGAGAACAGAUGGUUGGUAAUGAUUUAAAACAUUUAUGUUUUUGGACUAUCACCAAGCCUCUGUAUUAAAAAAUAUGGUGUUUAGUUAGUACAUACCAACAUCUAUAUGCAAGGUGCUCAUUUUCUGGAGGACGGUACUGUAAUGAAGGGGAUAAAAACCAAAUGAGCAUACGAGUAAAACUAGAAAAAAAUGAUAGAAUGCGAUUUAUGUUGAUUCCUGGUCAAGUGAACACAAGCCGGCCCACUGAACCAGAAGAAAAGAGUAAUAGAACUCUUGAAAGAGAAGAUAAAACCCACCGUAUCCAGAUAUUGCUGGGAAGAAAAAUAAAAACAACUAUUAAAAAUUUAAAAUCACUUUUAGAAAGCUUCCUUGCAUUAGUGCUAUGAAAUAGAAAGAGUCUUGGAGAACAGGAUUUGUUCACGUUAAGUUGGGCAAGUCUUCUCUUCCUGGGCUCAGUUUCCUCAUCUGCAGUGCAUGAGGUCAUUGAACUCCAUAAGCCCUAAGGAUCCUUCUGGUUUCAAAAAUCCCAUAACGUCUGAUAUAGAACACUUACCUUGACAAAGCUCUUCAAGUCAUUUUCACCUUCACAUAUUGAUUUAUCUGUGUAGUGACAUUUAAAGUGAAUUCUAAUCAGGAAAUAAAAGGCUGAUUUCUUCAGUAGAAGAAAUUGACAAUAAAAAAAUGUGAAUACAAGAGAGAAACAAAGGCCUGAUUACCAGAAGUCGAUCUAUAGGAUACAGAAUGUGGCAUUGUACAAAGUAGAAAUUCCUUUCUAAAAUUUAAGAAGAAAUCAUUGUAACAUCAGGAAUAAACAGGAAAAAGGAGAAAGCAUUAAGAUUUUCCAGUCAAGGAGAGAUCUGGAAACAUAAUGAUUUACCUCCUGCCAUAGCAAGCAUGGUAUAGCAAAUUUUAUGAUUUGGGGUUGAUCAAAAUUAUUGUGUGACGAAGACAUAAUUAAAAAAAGAUUUGACUCUGUCUCUAACCUUUUUUAAGGAAGGAAUUAUUUUCUUAAAAAUCAAGAACAAAUCAAGGACCAAAUAUCUAUAACUAAAGCACAAAUUAAGUGUUCAGAAGAAUAUUGGGGAGAAAAAGCAGAAUGCAAAA
rnacentral:lncRNA from 1 species